rnacentral:rRNA from 1 species
GACGAACGCUGGCGGCGUGCUUAACACAUGCAAGUCGAACGGAAAGGCCCUGCUUUUGUGGGGUGCUCGAGUGGCGAACGGGUGAGUAACACGUGAGUAACCUGCCCUUGACUUUGGGAUAACUUCUGGAAACUGGGGCUAAUACCGGAUAUGAGCUCCUGCUGCAUGGUGGGGGUUGGAAAGUUUCGGCGGUUGGGGAUGGACUCGCGGCUUAUCAGCUUGUUGGUGGGGUAGUGGCGUACCAAGGCUCUGACGGGUAGCCGGCCUGAGAGGGUGACCGGGCACAUUGGGACUAAGAUACGGCGCAGACGGCUACGGGAGGCAGCAGUGGGGAAUAUUGCAGAAUGGGCGGAAGCCUGAGGCAGCAACUCCGCGUGCGGGAUGACGGCCUUCGGGUUGUAAACCGCUUUCGCCUGUGACGAAGCGUGAGUGACGGUAAUGGGUAAAGAAGCACCGGCUAACUACGUG